CGUAGGUAACCUGCCCAUGUGUCCGGGAUAACUGCUGGAAACGGCAGCUAAAACCGGAUAGGUAUACAGAGCGCAUGCUCAGUAUAUUAAAGCGCCCAUCAAGGCGUGAACAUGGAUGGACCUGCGGCGCAUUAGCUAGUUGGUGAGGUAACGGCCCACCAAGGCGAUGAUGCGUAGCCGGCCUGAGAGGGUAAACGGCCACAUUGGGACUGAGACACGGCCCAA
rnacentral:rRNA from 1 species